rnacentral:tRNA from 1 species
AAAAUUAAAAAUUUCCGCAGCA